UAAAUAAUAUAUAUAUAUGUGUAAUAAUAAAUAGAAAGUUUGUGUGUUUGUGAAUUUAUUACUUUAACUCCUCCGACACUAUCCAACAGACCUUGAUGAAACUUGAC